rnacentral:rRNA from 1 species
UACGAAGGGGGCUAGCGUUGUUCGGAAUUACUGGGCGUAAAGCGCGUGUAGGUGGUUGUCCAAGUUGGAUGUGAAAGCCUUGAGCUCAACUCAAGAAAUGCAUUCAGGACUGGAUGACUAGAGGACCGGAGAGGAUAGUGGAAUUCCCAGUGUAGUGGUGAAAUACGUAGAUAUUGGGAAGAACACCAGUGGCGAAGGCGGCUAUCUGGACGGUUUCUGACACUAAGACUCGAAAGCGUGGGGAGCAAACAGG